UACGAAGGGGGCUAGCGUUGCUCGGAAUCACUGGGCGUAAAGGGUGCGUAGGCGGGUUUUUAAGUCAGAGGUGAAAUCCUGGAGCUCAACUCCAGAACUGCCUUUGAUACUGAAAGUCUUGAGUAUGGGAGAGGUGAGUGGAACUGCGAGUGUAGAGGUGAAAUUCGUAGAUAUUCGCAAGAACACCAGUGGCGAAGGCGGCUCACUGGCCCAUUACUGACGCUGAGGCACGAAAGCGUGGUGAGCAAACAGG
rnacentral:rRNA from 1 species